GACGAACGCUGGCGGCGUGCUUAACACAUGCAAGUCGAACGGAAAGGCCCUGCUUUUGUGGGGUGCUCGAGUGGCGAACGGGUGAGUAACACGUGAGUAACCUGCCCUUGACUUUGGGAUAACUUCAGGAAACUGGGGCUAAUACCGGAUAGGAGCUCCUGCUGCAUGGUGGGGGUUGGAAAGUUUCGGCGGUUGGGGAUGGACUCGCGGCUUAUCAGCUUGUUGGUGGGGUAGUGGCUUACCAAGGCUUUGACGGGUAGCCGGCCUGAGAGGGUGACCGGCCUCAUUGGGACUGAGAUACGGCCCAGACUCCUACGGGAGGGAGCAGUGGGGAAUAUUGCCCCAUGGGCGGAAGCCUUAUGCAGCAACGCCGCGUGCGGGAUGACGGCCUUCGGGUUGUAAACCGCUUUCGCCUGUGACGAAGCGUGAGUGACGGUAAUGUGUAAAGAAGCACCGGCUAACUACGUG
rnacentral:rRNA from 1 species